rnacentral:rRNA from 1 species
UGCAUGACUCUUGGCAAUGGAUAUCAUGGCUCUCGCAUCGAUGAAGAACGUAGCGAAAUGCGAUACUUGGUGUGAAUUGCAGAAUCCCAUGAACCAUCGAAUCUUCGAACGCAAGUUGCAUCCGAGACCUUCGGGUCGAGGGCCGUCUGCUUGGACGUCAUGC